AACGAACGCUGGCGGCAGGCCUAACACAUGCAAGUCGAGCGCGCCCUUCGGGGUGAGCGGCGGACGGGUGAGUAACGCGUGGGAACGUGCCCUUUUCUACGGAAUCGCCUCGGGAAACUGAGAGUAAUACCGUAUACGCCCAUUGGGGGAAAGAUUUAUCGGAAAAGGAUCGGCCCGCGUUGGAUUAGGUAGUUGGUGGGGUAAUGGCCUACCAAGCCGACGAUCCAUAGCUGGUUUGAUAGGAUGAUCAGCCACACUGGGACUGAGACACGGCCCAGACUCCUACGGGAGGCAGCAGUGGGUAAUCUUAGACAAUGGGGGCAACCCUGAUCUAGCCAUGCCGCGUGAGUGAGGAAGGCCUUAGUGUUGUAAAGCUCUUUCAGCUGGGAAGAUAAUGACGGUACCAGCAGAAGAAGCCCCGGCUAACUCCGUG
rnacentral:rRNA from 1 species